UCCUGCCUCAGCCACCCAAAGUGCUGGGAUUACAGGUGUGAGCCAGUGCACCUGGCCGGGAUGGGCAUAUUAUACUAUUCUCUCUACUUUGAUAUAUUUUUAAGAAUUUUAAUAAUAGAAAAAUUGUCCUUGCAAAUUUGUGAUUGUGAUUAUUGUCUGAACAUAGUAGAGUAUUGUUAUAGCACCCCAAGACUAAUACUUUGGUGAGUAGCCCAGAUAUAUUAACAUUCUUCAGAGUUUACAAACUAACUGACUUUCGACGCUUAAAAGUUGUUUAAAAUAAGUAGUAAAUGUAUUUAAAUUUCUCCCCAAAUUUUCCAAACUUUAGAGUUUUGGAAAAUGCAAUAUUUCUCCUUAGAAAGGAGAUGCUAUUUGUUAUUUAUUAGGUCUUCAUAUUAAUGGCAUCUGUGUCCCAUCUAGAACAGCCACUGCCACGA
rnacentral:lncRNA from 1 species